rnacentral:rRNA from 1 species
UACGUAGGGGGCAAGCGUUGUCCGGAGUUACUGGGCGUAAAGCGCACGCAGGCGGUCUGGUAAGUUUGGCGUGACAGUCAUCGGCUUAACUGAUGAAGUGCUUCGAAAACUGCCCGACUUGAGGGCUUCAGAGGGACACGGAAUUCCGGGUGGAGUGGUGAAAUGCGUAGAUAUCCGGAGGAACACCAAUUGCGAAGGCAGCUCGCUGGGACGUGACUGACGCUGAGACGCGAAAGCGUGGGGAGCAAACAGG